UUCCUGGUGGUCCAGUGGUUAGGACUCUGUGCUUCGAAUACAAGGGGCCUGGUUCAAUCCCUGGUCAGGGAA
rfam:TPA: Bos taurus chromosome X, whole genome shotgun sequence.